rnacentral:hammerhead_ribozyme from 1 species
GUAUAAGUGAUGAGUCCCAAAUAGGACGAAACGUGCGUCGUGCAU